CAGACUGCACGUGUUUCUCUCUGCUCUUCACAUUGGAUGUGAGGUGGCCGGCUCCUUCCAGUACCAUCGUGACUUCUCCACAGGAUGACCUGUGACCUGGCCUUGUGAGCUGAAUACCCCCAUGUCCCCCUAAGCUGCUUUUCCUUGGGGUGGGUCAUCACAGCAAUAGAGAGAAGGCAGGAUCUGAAAGCACUCUACCCACUGCGACCUGCAGGGCUGUGAGCCUCUCCUGGGUCCAUGCUGGAAUGCUGGCUCUCCUGGGUCCAUGCUGGAAUGCUGGCUCUCCUGGGUCCAUGCUGGAAUGCUGGCUCUCCUGGGUCCAUGCUGGAAUGCUGGCUCUCCUGGGUCCAUGCUGGAAUGCUGGCUCUCCUGGGUCCAUGCUGGAAUGCUGGCUGGCUGGUCUUGUGCUGGGCAGAGCUGCUGUGAGUUUGAGCUUACCCGAUGAGCCAUCUCUCCAGCCCCUACUUUAAUUUUUCUCUUAAAGGCAGGUGAAACAAAGAGGCUACAUGCACACCAGUCUUAGGUCUUAAGUGACCUCAGGGUACAUUAUUAACUGGGCUGUGAGGUCUGGCAAAAGUUCCAGUAUUUUACAACAUACAAGAUAUUUGUAUAAUAAUGCUCAGGUCGAACCCCCGCUGCAGUGGAUGGAGACCCAGGCAGAUGCUGCUCUUGGGUACUAGGGAUUCUGAGGAGGUGGGCUUUGAGAGCAGCUCUUCCUUUCUCUAAGCCAAGAUCUGGCUCCAAGAUGCUCAAGGGAGCUGGAGUCUGAGGGGAUGGGAAGGGUUCAGAAAGCUAACUCUGCUUGUGGUCUGAGCCAGGCACUGAGCCAGAGAGCCAGUGAGGACCUGCAUCCUUGUCUUGGUUACUUUUCUGUUACUGUAACAAACACUAUGACCAAGACAACUUACAAAUGGGUUUACUUUGUCUUCCAGUUCCAGAGGAUAGAGGAUACCAGUCUAUCACGGAGCUGAAACAGCAGACACAGCAGCAGGAACUGGACGCUGAGAACGGAUAUCCUUUACCAUAAGCACAGAGCAGAAAGAGCCAGCUGCAACAAGGU
rnacentral:lncRNA from 1 species